CCUACGGGAGGCAGCAGUGAGGAAUAUUGGUCAAUGGCCGGAAGGCUGAACCAGCCAAGCCGCGUGAAGGACGAAGGUGCCAAGCAUUGUAAACUUCUUUUGUCAAGGGACAAAAUCAGGCUCGAGAGCCUGACCGAGGGUACUCGAAGAAAAAGCAUCGGCUAACUCCGUGCCAGCAGCCGCGGUAAUACGGAGGAUGCGAGCGUUAUACGGAUUUAUUGGGUUUAAAGGGUGCGUAGGCGGGCUGUUAAGUCAGCGGUAAAAGCCCGGGGCUCAACCCCGGCGAGCCGUUGAAACUGGCUGUCGUGAGAUGGCGAGAGGAAGGAGGAAUGCGGGGGGUAGCGGUGAAAGGCUUAGAUAUUGCGCAGAACUCCGAUUGCGAAGGCAGCAUACCGGCGGCGGUCUGACGCUGAGGCACGAAAGCGUGGGUAUCGAACAGGAUUAGAUACCCGUGUAGUC
rnacentral:rRNA from 1 species